AUUGAACGCUGGCGGCAUGCCUUACACAUGCAAGUCGAACGGCAGCAUGGAGAGCUUGCUCUCUGAUGGCGAGUGGCGAACGGGUGAGUAAUGCAUCGGAACGUACCGUGUAAUGGGGGAUAACGUAGCGAAAGUUACGCUAAUACCGCAUACGACCUGAGGGUGAAAGCAGGGGAUCGCAAGACCUUGCGUUAUACGAGCGGCCGAUGUCAGAUUAGCUAGUUGGUGAGGUAAAGGCUCACCAAGGCGACGAUCUGUAGCGGGUCUGAGAGGAUGCUCGGCCACACUGGGACUGAGACACGGCCCAGACUCCUACGGGAGGCAGCAGUGGGGAAGUUUGGACAAUGGGGGCAACCCUGAUCCAGCCAUGCCGCGUGAGUGAAGAAGGCCUUCGGGUUGUAAAGCUCUUUCGGCCGGGAAGAAAUCGCACAGGCUAAUACUCUGUGUGGAUGACGGUACCGGCAUAAGAAGCACCGGCUAACUACGUGCCAGCCGCCGCGGUAA
rnacentral:rRNA from 1 species